rnacentral:rRNA from 1 species
UACGGGGGGAGCAAGCGUUGUUCGGAUUUACUGGGCGUAAAGGGCGCGUAGGCGGCCACCGCAAGUCGGUUGUGAAAUCUCUGGGCUUAACCCAGAAAGGUCAACCGAUACUGCGGGGCUAGAGUGCAGAAGGGGCAACUGGAAUUCUCGGUGUAGCGGUGAAAUGCGUAGAUAUCGAGAGGAACACCUGCGGCGAAGGCGGGUUGCUGGGCUGACACGUGACGCUGAAGCGCGAAAGCUAGGGAGCGAACGGG